ACCAGUGUGGCAUAAUGGUUUGAGUGUUGGACUAGCACUCUGGAAACCAAGGUUCAAAUCCCUGCUCAGCCA